UACGGAGGGUGCAAGCGUUAUCCGGAAUCACUGGGUUUAAAGGGUGCGUAGGCGGAUAUGUAAGUCAGCGGUGAAACUCACAGGCUCAACCUGUGCCGUGCCGUUGAAACUGUGUAUCUGGAAUGCGGAUGCUGUGGGAGGAAUGUGUAGUGUAGCGGUGAAAUGCAUAGAUAUUACACAGAACACCGAUUGCGAAGGCAUCUCACAAAGCCGUUAUUGACGCUGAGGCACGAAAGUGUGGGGAUCAAACA
rnacentral:rRNA from 1 species